rnacentral:rRNA from 1 species
AGGCGAUGAAGGACGUGCUAAUCUGCGAAAAGCGUCGGUAAGGUGAUAUGAACCGUUACAGCCGGCGAUGUCCGAAUGGGGAAACCCAGUGCAAUUCGUUGCACUAUCGUUUGAUGAAUACAUAGUCAAACGAGGCGAACCGGGGGAACUGAAACAUCUAAGUACCCCGAGGAAAAGAAAUCAACCGAGAUUCCCCCAGUAGCGGCGAGCGAACGGGGAGCAGCCCGGAGUCUGAAUCA